UACGAAGGGGGCUAGCGUUGCUCGGAAUCACUGGGCGUAAAGCGCACGUAGGCGGCUUUUUAAGUCAGGGGUGAAAUCCUGGAGCUCAAACUCCAGAACUGCCUUUGAUACUGAGAAGCUUGAGUCCGGGAGAGGUCAGUGGAAUUCCGAGUGUAGAGGUGAAAUUCGUAGAUAUUCGGAAGAACACCAGUGGCGAAGGCGACUGACUGGACAAGUAUUGACGCUGAGGUGCGAAAGCGUGGGGAGCAAACAGGG
rnacentral:rRNA from 1 species